GAUGAACGCUGGCGGCGUGCCUAAUACAUGCAAGUCGAACGAAACUUCUUUAUCACCGAGUGCUUGCACUCACCGAUAAAGAGUUGAGUGGCGAACGGGUGAGUAACACGUGGGCAACCUGCCCAAAAGAGGGGGAUAACACUUGGAAACAGGUGCUAAUACCGCAUAACCAUAGUUACCGCAUGGUAACUAUGUAAAAGGUGGCUAUACUACCGCUUUUGGAUGGGCCCGCGGCGCAUUAGCUGGUUGGUAGGGUAAAGGCUUACCAAGGCAAUGAUGCGUAGCCGAAUUGAGAGGUUGAUCGGCCACAUUGAGACUGAGACACGGCCCAAACUCCUACGGGAGGCGGCAGUAGGGAAUCUUCCACAAUGGCGAAAGCCUGAUGGAGCAACGCCGCGUGGGUGAAGAAGGUCUUCGGAUCGUAAAACCCUGUUGUUAGAGAAGAAAGUGCGUGAGAGCAACUGUUCACGUUUCGACGGUAUCUAACCAGAAAGCCACGGCUAACUACGUG
rnacentral:rRNA from 1 species